CCAAGAUGACGUCUCAAGACGUAUUGAUGUAUUACUUUAUGUGAUCUUUAUAAAUAAUUAAUAAAAUAAAUAAUUAAUAAAAUGGCUACAUGCAUCUUUCACAUACAAAAUAAAAGAAAGCUAGCAAAUCCAACAUCCAGAACAAUUUGAUGAUGUGGAAGCACGCAUGCAAAACAAAAUAGCUAUGUAACAGUGUCUAAUGACGUUUCUCUAUAGAAGAUAACUAUAUUUUGAUCCUCGGCCUACUUAACAAUUAGUAUGAGAGUAAGUUGGCUAUGUUAAUAUUAUGCAAUUAGAUUGGAACACACCUCAACCCCUCGCCAGAGUGUCGCCACUAGUCAUCGCGAGAAACUGAUCGAAUUUCUCUAUGAGCGAACACUAUCUGUAAUCGAUUGGUGAUAUGGCAGUGAGACAACUUGAACUUUGCCGCUGGAUUCCUACAGUAAACAAGUGCCAUCACAAACCCACUAUGAUUACAAACGCAGACUAUGAUCAAUAGUAAAUGUCACCCUUUCAUUUACUUAGUCGCACCGCUUGAAAACGCGGGAUAAACUUUUUUACUUUUUCUUUUUGAGCAAGGAUAAAAACUUUACUUGGCCGCAACGUGAACCAGCACGCUUCUGGCCUACACGCAAACUAGCUAUAUGGACUCUGCGGGCUAGAUCGAACCGAGAUUACAAAUUACCUUACUGAAACCUAAACAAACCAACUUGACAGAAACAAACUUAACUUUCAUCAUGGCGGGCUAACGUUGAUCGAAAUCGCCGUGCAGCAUGAUGAGCGGCUGCCUUCACUUGUUUUCGGGUUUCUUCUUAGGCAGCAGGUUCUGAUUCUUCGAUGUUGUAGGUUUUGCCUUAGCCGUCUUGUUCUUGUUAACCUUUGCCUUCGUGUUAACCUUUGGCUUUUGAGAGGCGUCCUUUGCGACUUCAUCGCCCUUGGCCAUGACGUGGUCUGCUGCUCUUCCUAUCCGAUGUGUCUGGCAGAGGUGAGGUGGAUGUGGUGUUUGCUUUGCUCCGGUUGGGUUGGAGAAACCUGCAACAAUGGUAACAUAUAUAUAGGCCGGACGAAUCCCUUCCAUUAGGGAAGAAGGGGUUGGUGGCAUUGCUAGUGCCAGUCAGUCUUUGCUGUUUUGUAUAUCUCACAUAUUGUUAUUGACGGAUGAAUGGCCAUGCUGGCUGCUGCGGUUGGUCCUCAUUUGUUUUCCUCCUCCUCCUCCUUAUAUUACACUUUUGCUUCGGUACCAAAGCACGCCUCAUUGUAUUAUUGGACGCGUCUAGCAAGCAGCCAUGUGUUCGUUAGCGCUCGGCAGCCGGUCGUAUUAGGAAAAUUAGUGUUUCAUGUUCUGAUUAGAAAAGUCCACAUUCUCCGUCUCUUCACCCAGUCCACAUGCGAGACAAAAAUCAAAAGAAUCAUCCAGCUUAUGCGAUUUCUUUUCUCUCAUUCACGCUGGCCUCACUUAUUUCCCAUGUUCUUUGCAUUAGUAAAGCAAAAAGGCAAUCAAUGCAUUUCAAAAAAUUCAAAAAGAUAUAACUUUCAAACCACAUGCCAAAAUUAAGAUCCGUUUUCAUCAAUGAAAACCUCGCGGUGAGAACUUUCAAACUAGUCCCCAUUUAUAUAUUUUUUAUGAACAUUUUUCACCGCCAAGUGAUUCUACUACAUGAUGCAACUUUUAUACCAUGGGGUGUAACUUUUUUUAAACCAACUUUUGUGAUACCACGACCAACUAUAAUAUUACAUGGAUGCAAUUUUAGUGCUACAUGAAUCAACAUUACCAAAAGAGCAACUUCAUAUGUGGUCCCAUCCAUGUGCCUAGCACACGAUGUGCAACUUCAUGUGCUACUCGGCCAACUGUCUACCUUGUGGAUGUGCAUUUUUCAUCUCCCAAAUUAUCAUGUCAGUGAGAUAUGCAACUUCAUUUGGUGUUCGCGCCAACUGAUUAACAAACGAUGUGCAACUUUAUCUAAUGCCCCUCCACCUACCUAGCAGACGAUGAGCAACUCGAUCUUCUCCCCGCCAAAUGCCUUGUAUUCGACAUGCAACUACUUCCUUACCACGUGGAUGUGCCUUCUUCACCACUUCUAUACUUGUCAGUGCGAUGUGCAACUUUAUAUGCUAUUUGUGCCAAUUGACUAACCAAUGAUAUGCAAACUUCACUUAUUGUCCAUGCCAACCAACUAACAACCGGUGUGCAAAUCUCAUAGCUUGUGCAUGAUCAACUAUGCUGACAAGAGUGUGCAACUCCGCGGCCGCGCAUGUGCACCUUAUGGAUAUAUUUUGAUGAAAUUUUAUGUGUGCAAUUUAGUCCCCAUUUUGUGCAAGUGUAUAGCGGUCAAUGUCCAACUUUGUGGUCAUGCGUGCGAGGAUGUGAACGAUAAAAUGGUCAUGUGUAAGCUACUACACUGAUAAGAUUGUGCAACUCCGUAGUCCAAAGAGAAUGUGCAGCUCCUAGUCCAAACUAGCCCUUAUCGAUAUAGUUAGUACGGAAUAUAUCUCGCCAUGGGCAGCCCGGCCCGACUCGACCCGACCUUGCCCACAGGCCAAACUCGGGCCUGAUAAUCAAGCCCGGUGGCCGGGCCGGACCGGGCUCGGGCCCGUGAAAAUCUCCGUUUACGCCUGCGUCGGGCCGGGCUUUUUCGGGCUCGGGCCAGGCCUGGGCCCAAAAAAUAGGCCCGAUGGUCGGGCCGGGCCGGGCUCGGGCCUAGGUUUUAUACCAGGGUUUUUUUAGGCCCGGCCCGGCCCGAGAUAUGGCCAGGUAGAGUAUGGACUGAUGCAAAGAUCGGGGGAUUCGUUCCUCCUUUAAAAAAAACCCUGCAGCUAUAGGGCUUCAAAUCUGCGAGUCCCAGCACUCCUAUGGUCAUCAAACUGUCACCACAACCGCCACCGAUCAGCCACGGAUGCUUUGAUUCGAAAUGUCUGAUCAUGCUCCUUAUAUGAUGGGAAACGCUUUCAUCCGAUGCGCCGGCCGAAUCGUUCGGCUGGUUACGCGCGGGCAGCGCGCCUCGCUGGUUAGAGGUAUGCAACAUUUUUUCGUCAGAUUUGCUGUAACCAUGCGUAAAUUUGAUACAAAUGUUUUCUAUUAUGCUAUAACUUGUCCAUUCAAAAAGCUACAUCCACAUUUGGUUGCAACUCGAGUUCGUUGGAUUUUUUUGCUACAACCGUGUUAAUUUUUGCUACAACCGGCAUCAUUUUUUGCUGCAACCGUUCACUAAAAAAGUUGCAUACGCGUUCGUCAGAGUUGCAACCCGAGUUCAUCGGAUAGUUUUGCUACAACCCUUAUUUUAUUUUGCUACUACGCAUCAUCAGCUUCGUUUUUUUGCUACGAUCACGUAGAUAUUUUUCUUGCUACAACUAUAUUUUUGUUGCAAUCGUUGGCUAAAAUUGCUGCAUCAUGGAUAAAAUUUGUUGCAUCGAAGAAAAAUUGCUGCAUGGAUAGAUCUAAGAGUGCGCCCCGCUGAUCUGACGGUCGCGCUGCGACCUUGCUCCGGCACUCCGACGCCCAGUACCGGCCUUAUAUGAUACCGGAGGGAUUGAAGGAAAACCGCAACGACCGUAGAUCAUUCCCAACUAUUGCCUUUUAUUAAGUCAUCCAACAGCAAUCUGCGAUAUAUAACUCGACAACUCAAGUAAAAAAUGAACUAACUUUUGGCCUCAACGUGAACAUGCAGGCCACUACUCCCUCUCUUGUACAUGAGGAAAACUAAUACAAGUUCCCCUUAUUACAAGUAUUUCGAUACAAAGGGAAUAACUAUGGACUCCAAGCGCUUGAUCUAAGCGAGUUUAGAAGGGGGGGGGGGGGUUUUGUGAAGAAGCGAGUUUAUAAGUUUAUGUACUGCAGCAAAAGUUCGUGUGACAGAAACACACUUAAUAAACUACAUUUUGACUGGACGGUAUCAAUCUCAGUGCAGCUGCACAUGCAGCUGCUCUUAACCUUUUUAGGGCUACAGGCCUCUUAAACAACCUUUGAUUCAUCUUAGAAGACUGUAGGCAUCGCCUGAUUCAUCUUAGAAGACUGUUGCUUUGGGUUAGACGGCCCAAACACCGCCUGCUGUGUCUUUGACAACGACCGCUUCGCCAUCUUAGAAGUCAUCUUCAUGCAGCUACUGCAUACCAUGGCGCGAUAUCUUUCCUCUUCUUCUUCUAUUUUGACCAAGCGAUCUGAGGUGACCUAGAUGCAGUGUUUACUUUGUUUCAGGUUGGGUUGAAGAAACCUGCCGCAACGGCAUAAAAAAUGGUUGUAAUAGGCCAAAACUGCGAGUUUCAACGAGUUCCCCGUAACUGAACCCCGAAGUGCCGGAAACGCUCGGAUCACAGCGGGACUCAAAAUCAGUGACUAAUAACAUACAAAACUGGUUGGAAUAGGCCAAAACUUCGAGUUUUCAUGAGUUCCAUCUAACCGGAGCCCGGGUUUUCCCGAAACGUUGGGAUCGCAGCGGGACAUAAAAUCUGAGUAAUAACAUACAAAACUGGCCGAAAAAGACCAAAAGUGCGAGUUUUGACGAAUUCCCCAUAACCGGACCCCGGGGUUCCCGAAACGUUCGGAUCGCAACGGGAACAAAAAUCAGUCAGUAAUAGCAUACAAAACUCAUCAGAAUAGGCCAAAACUGCGUGUUUUGACGAGUUCCAUGUAACCGGAUCCAGGGUUCCCGAAAUGUUCGGAUCACAGCGGGAUCCAAAAUCAGUGAGUAAUAGCAUACAAAACUGGCCACAAUAGGCCAAAACUGCGAUUUUUACGAGUUCCCCGUAACCGGACCACGGGGUUCCCGAAAUGUUCGGAUCACAGUGGGACCUAAAAUCAGUGACUAAUAGCAUACAAAACUGGCCGGAAUAGGCCAAAACUGUGAGUUUUCACGAGUUCCACGUAACCGGAACCCGGGGUCCUCAAAUGUUCGGAUCGCAGCGGGACCCAUAAUCAGUGAGUAGUACCAUACAGAACUGGUCACAAUAGGUCAAAACUGCGAGUUUCGACGAGUUCCCCGUAACCAGACCCCGAGGUUUCGAAAACGUUCAGAUCACAACGGGACCCAAAAUCAGUGACUAACUGCAUAUAAAACUGGCCGGAAUAUGACAAAACUGCGAGUUUUCACGAGUUCUGUGUAACCGGACCCUGGGUUCCCGAAACGUUCGGAUCACAGCGGGACCCAAAAUCAGUGAGUAAUAGUAUACAAAACUGGCCGAAAUAAACCAAAACUGCGAGUUUUGAUGAGUUCCCCAUAACCGAAACCCUGGAUUCCCGAAACGUUCAGAUCGUAGCGGGAACGAAAAUCAGUGAGUAAGCAUACGAAACUCGUCAAAAUAGGCAAAAAAUGUGUGUUUUGAAGAGUUCCAUGUAACCGGACACAGCGGUUCCCGAAACGAUCGGAUCACAGCGUGAUCCAAAAUCAAUGAGUAAUAGCAUACAAAACCGGCCACAAUAGACCAAAACUGUGAGUUUCGACGAGUUCCGCAUAACCGGACCCAGAGGUUCCGGAAACGUACGGAUCACAGCGGGACCCAAAAUCAAUGACUACUAGCAUACAAAACUGGCCGGAAUAGGCCAAAAUUGCGAGUUUUGACGAGUUCCCCGUAACCGGACCAAGGGUUCCCGAAACAUCCGGAUCACAUCGGGACCCAACAUUAGUGACUUGCAUACAAAACUAGCCGGAAUAGACAAAAACUACGAGUUUUGACGAGUUCGCCGUAACCGGACCAAGGGUUCCCGAAACAUUGGGAUCACACCAGGACCCAAAAUCAGUGACUAAUAGCAUAGAAAACUGGUCGUAAUAGGCCAAAAUUGCGAGUUUCAACUAGUUCCCCGUAACCGGACCCCGAGGUUCCGGAAACGUUCAGAUCACAGCGGGGCCCGAAAUAGCAUACAAAACUCGCCAGAAUAGGCCGAAGCUGCGUGUUUUGAUGAGUUUAAUGUAACCGGACCGAGGGGUUCCCGAAACGUUCGGAUCACAGCGUGACCCAAAAUCAGUGAGUAAUAGCAUACAAAACCGGCCACAAUAGGCCAAAAGUGCGAUUUUUGACGAGUUCUCCGUAACCGGACCCCGAGGUUCCGAAAACGUUCGGAUCACAGCGGGACCCAAAAUCAAUGACUAAUAGCAUACAAAACUGGCCGGAAUAGGCCAAAACAGCGAGUUUUCACAAGUUCCAUGUAACCGGAGCUCGGGGUUCCCGAAAUGUUCAGAUCGCAGCGGGACCCAAAAUCAGUGAGUAAUAGCAUACAAAACAGGCCGAAAUAGACCAAAACUGCGAGUUUUGACGAGUUCCCCAUAACUGGACCCUGGGGUUCCCGGAACGUUCGGAUCGCAGCGGGAACCCAAAUCAGUGAGUAAUAGCAUACAAAACUUCGAGUUUAGGACAAAACUGCGGGUUUUGACAAGUUCCCAAAACAAGACCCCGGGGUUCCCGAAACGUUCAAAUCGCAUCGGGACCCAAAAUCAAUGACUAAUAGCAUACAAAACUAGCCGGAAUAGGCCCGAAUAGGCCAAAACUGCGAGUUUCGACGAGUUCCCCAUACCCGGACCCCGAGGUUCCGGAAACGUUCGGAUCACAGCGGGACCCAAAAUCAAUGACUACUUGCAUACAAAACUGGCCGGAAUAGGCCAAAACUAUUAGUUUUGACGAGUUCCGUAACCGGACCAAGGGUUCCCGAAACAUUCGGAUUACAUCGGGACCCAACAUUAGUGACUUGCAUACAAAACUGGCUGGAAUAAGCUAAAACUAUGAGUUUUGACGAGUCCCCCGUAACCGGACCCAGGGUUCCCGAAACAUUCGGAUCACAGCGGGACCCAAAAUGAGUGACUAAUAGCAUAGAAUACUGGUCGUAGUAGUCCAAAACUGCGAGUUUCAACUAGUUCCCCGUAACCGGACCCCGAGGUUCCGAAAACGUUUGGAUCAUAGCGGGGCCCAAAUCAGUGACUAAUAGCAUACAAAACUGGUCGGAAUAGGCCAAAACUUUGAGCUUUCAUGAGUUCCAUGUAACCGGAGCCCGGGGUUCCCGAAACGUUGGGAUCGCAGCGGGACCCAAAACCAGUGAAUAAUAGUAUACAAAACUGUCCGAAAUAGACCAAAAGUGCGAGUUUGACGAGUUCCCCAUAACCGGACCCCGGGGUUCCUGAAAUCUUUGGAUCGCAGCGGGAACCAAAAUCAGUCAGUAAUAGCGUACAGAACUCGCCAGAAUAGGCCGAAACUGCGUGUUUUGACGAGUUCCAUGUAACCGGACCCAGGGGUUCCCGAAACGUUCGAAUCACAGCGUGACCCAAAAUCUUUGAGUAAUAGCAUACAAAACCGGCCACAAUAGGCCAAAACUGUGAUUUUUGACGAGUUCCCCGUAACCGGACCUCGAGGUUCCGGAAACGUUCGGAUCAUAGUGGGACCCAAAAUCAAUGACUAAUUGCAUACAAAACUGGCGGGAAUAGGCCAAAACAGUGAGUUUUCACGAGUUCCAUGUAACCGGAGCCCGGGGUUCCCGAAACGUUCGGAUCGCAGCGGGACGCAAAAUCAGUGAGUAAUAGCAUACAAAACUGGCCGAAAUAGACCAAAACUGCGAGCUUUGACGAGUUCCCCAUAACGGGACCCCGGGGUUCCCGGAACGUUCGAAUCGUAGCGGGAACCAAAAUCGGUGACUAAUUCCAUACAAAACAGACCGGAAUAAGCCAAAACUGCGGGUUUUCACGAGUUUCGUGUAACCGGACCCCGGGGUUCCCGAAACGUUCGGAUCGCAGCGGGACCCAAAAUAAAUGAGUAAUAGCAUACAAAACUGGACGAAAUAGACCAAAACUGCGAGUUUUGACGAGUUCCUUAUAAUCGGACCCCUGGAUUCCCGAAACAUUCGGAUUGCAGCGGGAACCAAAAUCAGUGAGUAAUAGCAUACAAAAUUCGCUAGAAUAGGCCAAAACUUUGCGUUUUGAAGAGUUCCAUCUAACCGGACCCAGGGGUUCCUGAAACGUUCGGAUCACAGCGUGACCCAAAAUCAGUGAGUAGUGGCAUACAAAACCGGCCACGAUAAGCCAAAACUGCGAUUUUUGACGAGUUCUCCGUAACUGGACCCCGGGGUUCCGGAAACGUUCGGAUCAUAGCGGGACCCAAAAUCAAUGACUAAUAGCAUAGAAAACUUUCCAGAAUAGGCCAAAACAGCGAGUUUUCACGAGCUCCAUGUCACCGGAGCCCGGGGUUCCUGAAACGUUCGGAUCGCAGCGGGACACAAAAUCAGUGAGUAAUACCAUACAAAAUUGACCGAAAUAGACUAAAACUGCGAGUUUUGACGAGUUCUCCAUAACCGGACCCCGGGGUUCCCGGAACUUUCAGAUCGCAGCGGAAACCAAAAUCAGUGAGUAAUAGCAUACAAAACAGGUCGGAAUAGACCUAAACUACGGGUUUUGACAAGUUCCCCAUAACCGGACCCGUGUUUCCCGAAACGUUCAGAUCGCAUCGAAAAUCUAAAAUCAUUAACUAAUAGAAUACAAAAUUAUCCGGAAUAGGUCUGAAUAGGCCAAAAGUGUGAGUUUCGACGAGUUCGCCGAAAACCUGCCGCAACGGCAGCUUAUAUAAAGGAACAGAGUAUAUAGGAAAAAUGCUCCGGCUCGACGACGCGCUUCCUCCGCGUAGAAUGGCUUGGUGGCGUUGCCGGUUAGGAUCUUCUGUUCUGGGGAGUAUAUAAGUACUUAUAUAUCCAAUGUAUUUUUAUUGAUGGACGGAUGCGGUUGGGUCAGUGGUCGCGGUCGUUGCCGCGUUGGUCUGUUCAUACUCAUACUACUACGGAAGUUAGAAUUAGCAUUAGGUAAGAGAUCUUUUAUGGUACCCCGUGAUAAAAUUAGUCCGUUCAUUCAGGAAAAUCCAACGCUAGAGAUUGAUUUGUACUGCUUCAACGGGCCAGCAGUAUAUGCACUCCAGCCCGAGCAAAGUGGAGCAGUAUACGGAGAUUGAGGGCAGUUUGACAACAUCGUAAUAUUUCAACCCGCCUACCCGUUGACCUAACCCACGCCUACGCCGCGACGAUUCCGGCCGCUGCCGCCGCACGCCCGAUUGAUCUCCGUCUGCGAGCCCCCUCCUCUUCCUCCGCCAUUCUCAUGGAGAAGAGCGACUCCCGCAACUUAAAUGUGGCAUAGUGAGCAUUAAAGUUAAGAUGCAAAUUUAAUCAAAUAAUAAAAAUACUUAUUCAGAUGCAAUUUUAUACUAAAGUUAGUGAGCAUUAAACUCAGUCUCAAAAUAAGUGACUUAAAAGUGACUCAAUUUUAUACUAAAGUUAGUAUAAAGUUGAGUCAUUUUUAAGUCACUUAUUUUAGGAUGAAGGGAGUAGAUUAUUGCAACAUAAACUAAGCUACUUGACAGAAACACACUUGACUUCAUCAUGGCCGAAGACCCCGGUUCCCCACGGGGCAGGUCUCACCCUUUGUGAGGCUACCUCUUAUUUCCGAGCGGCACCCUCCUAUUCUUAGCCCGCACCUGGCUCUGAGGCGACACAGAUUUCGGGUGUGUACUGCCUGACGGCUUUGCACUGGCCUGUAGCACAGAUUUGGGCGGUAUACUGCCUGGCUUUGCACUGGCCUGUAGCACAGAUUUCGGAUGCGUACUGCUUGACUUUGCACUGGCCUGUAGCACAGAUUUGGGCUGUGUCGGGCCUGACGGCACAGAUGGUUUUCUGCUCAUGGCGCGAUCUGCUUCUCUUCUUCUUAUUAUCCUUCUUCUUGUCCAGCGAAGUGGCAGAGGUGAGGAGAAUGUGGUGCUCACUUGGCUACGGUUGGGUUGAGGAAGCAUGCGUCAAUGGUUGCAUAUAUAUAAAGGAGGGAGGGAGAAGGUCUGGGGAAAGCGCUCCGGCCGGACGACCCGAGGACCAUGGUUUGGUGGCGUUGUCAGUCUCUUUGGUUUUGUUUGAGGAGUAGAUAUGAAUAUUCAGUGCAUUUGUUAUUGAGGGAUGGGUAUGCGGUUGGGUCAGUGGUCGUGGGCUCCUGGCCGCUGCCGCGUUGGUCUUCAUUGGGGGGUCCUCCUUCUUAUAAUAUUACUAUAUCCGAAUAUAAGCGGCUGCUUGUUAGAGCAUCUCCUACCCGUUUCAAAUGUCCGCACAAAACAUCCGAUCAUGGACUGGUCAUGAAAUUUUGACCCACAUGAAUGUUUUAAAUGCUCGGGCUAAGCAACAUUCCUCAUAUUCAGUUUAAAUAUGAAACGGAUAUGAAGGCGUCCGGGCAAACCCGUGCUAACAGACCGUUCGGCCUCACGAUGGGGUUCCAUGAAAAUAAGCACACGCCACAUGGUUGCCACAUGUUUGUUAGUUGUUAGUCAUACCAGUCAUUCACCUGUGGACAUGCAUGUCCUAGCUAUUAUAAGGAUACAUAGUUAUUAAAAUAAUUAUGUUAAUUAAUAUGUAAACGUUUAGAUAUCAUACAACAGUACAUAUUCUUAAUUAGUUCUCAAACGAUGAUAAACCAAUAAACAUGCGUAUUAUGAGCUUUAUUGUUGGAUGGAGUGCAUCCAUAUUCCAACAUAUGUUGCACAAACCGCCAUCAUUGGUGAACUCUUCCGUUGAAAUUAUGCAUUAAAUUGAUACAUAUGGCAAGAUAAACAUCUUCCUCGUUACAAAAUAAUACAUAUAAAUUUGAUACACAUUGUGAUCCAAUAUAAAAGACAUCUCGGUAAAAGUUUGGAGAAAGGAAAACUACGCAUACCCACUGGUCAGAAUAUUUAAAGUGAGAGGCAUAAGCCAAAUGGUCUAGACUUUUACAAAGAUGGUAUUUUUUUCUUGCAUAAACAAAAUGAAGAGAAGAGGUACUAAUUGUUUUUUAACAUAAAAACAAUGAUAUGCUAAUGUAUCUAUGAUCAUGAAAUUAAAUAGUACAUUUUCUCGUAAUACUUGGUAAUUUCCUUUUUCCCAUAAAUUUAAAAUUUAUUGGGCCAUGAUAUAUUCAUGGAACAUGAUAUAGCUAAGGCAAGAAAUAUGAAAUUAGUUUUAUGCCUUUUUGAACAACUGUCUGACUAAAAAUAAAUUUUAAUAAUUAGAGUGAACUAUUCUGGUUUGGACGCGCCAAGGAAGAACACAAUAACUAUAGGCAGUUGUUCGCAUGUGAGUUGGGAUCAUUACCAUUUCGAUACUCGGGAAUCCCAAUACAUCACUGAAAAUUAUCUAACAAAGAGUGGAAAUGUAUCAAGGAUUGAUUCGAUAAGAAAUUGAGCUGCUGGAAGGGCAAGCUUUUAUCUUAUGGGGGAGGUUGAUCCUCAUUAAUUCGUAUUGACAAGUAUGGCGAUGUUCCUUAUUUCCUUCAUUGAGGUACCCAUACGGGAACGAAAAAGAUUGGAUUUCUAUCAAUCUCGUUUCUUUUGGCAAAGUGAUGAGAACAAAAUAAAAUAUAGAUUGGCUAAGUGGAACAUUAUUUGUAGACCGAAGGACCAUGGGGGCUUGGGAAUUGAAAACUUAGAAGUGGAAAAUAAGUGCCUACUAAGCAAAUGGUUGUACAAAUUGUCGGUUGAGCGGGAUGGUGUUUGGUUGCAGCUGUUGAGGAAUAAAUACUUGCACUCCAAAACUCUGGUUGAGGUGACGGCACGACCGUCUGAUUCUUCUUUUUGGAAGGGGCUAACGAGGACGGAGGUGUCCUUCUCUAAUAGGAGCAUGUUUAUAGUUGGCAACGGUCAUGGCACUGGAUUUUAUGAAGACAUUUGGUUGGGAGACACACCAUUAGCUUUGCAAUAUUCUUCAUUAUACAACAUUGUACAACGAAAAUAUGUUUUCGUUGCUAGAGUGUUAAGUGGUCCCUCUUAACAUUUAGUUCAGGGAUCGCCAGUGGGGGAUGCUGGAAUAGUUGGCUGCACCUAGUGCGUAGGUUAAUGGAGGUUAACCUUUCAGAUGCACCAGAUACCUUACAAUGGUAGCUGUCAAUGUCAGAUAUAUUCUCAAUUAAGUCAAUAUAUAUGGACUUGAUAAACACUAAACCUAUUCUGAAAUUGAUCCACAUUUAGAAUAUUAAGGUGCCAGUAAAAAGCAAGGUGUUUAUGUAGUUCAUGCAUAAUGGUGUAAUCCUCACGAAGGAUAAUUUGGCAAAGCGUAAGUAGGAGGUUAGUCAGAGAUAUUGUUUUUAUAAUCGUUUCACACUUAUUUGGAACAUGGUUAAUUAGUAUAGAGCCAAAGACUGCGGCACAUGUUUAAAUUGGAGUGUGUGCAUUACUUUGGGCCAUAUCAAAUUAUCGAAAUGACGUUGCCUUUAACAGACAAAACAUUAAAAAAAUGCAGGUUGUCUUUCGGGCGUCUGCUUGGAUCCGUACGUGGUCAUUACUCAGCCAUACAAACCACAUGGGGUUUUUGGAUAUUGGGUGCAACCGAUGGGAGAUAGUUGCAAAGGAUACUUACAAAAGGUUUGAAUGACGGUUCUGUAAUAGGAUAGGUGUUUACUAAUCUUACCCUAUUUGUGCCGGUUGUGUUGAUUUGUUUCUUUUAUUUCUUUGAGAAUUGCAGAUUUUUUCGGGAGUUUGUUCGGAACCUAUUAUUUUAAUACUAUGGUUGUGUGCAUCAAGAUAUGCAGAUGCCGGGGGUUAUCCUCCUUGUUGAAAAAAAAGGUGUCUCUAAAUUUAAAAGCACACUUCGUAAUUUUCGACACUAAUUUUCCAAGAGAAACAUUGAGGAAAAGUAAUAAACUAUUUCAUCUAAAGCACAUAAUUGGCAUUUAGUGUCGUUGGCAAUCCCCCAUCAGAAUAAUAAAUUAAGGAAAAGGUGAUCAACUUUUAUUCCCCACUCUAGCAGCAUUUUCGGAAGUCUCUCCGGCGAUUCUGUGCAAUAUAAGAUGAAUUCACGGUAAAAAUGAUGCAAUGGUAAUCAAAUAAGCAUGAACUUUAUGAAAUUAUGAUACAAAAUACAGAUAUCACUGGUAAUCAUGGACGAUUGUUUCGAUAGUAGCUGGCACUAUGCACAAUGCAUGCAUGUACUAUGUGAAACGUGCAUCAACUAGACCUGAUUAUAGUCCGUCGUUGUGGGUAUUGGAUUCAUCCGAGUCUUGCCAGUGUUGGUACUCAAACUCUGCCGUCGAGAGACUCUUCUAGUCACUGAACCGUCAUCAGGAAGACCGCUGUGUGAUCACAAAUGCAGGCUCUUACACCAAAUGUCAAAUUGCAGCUAAAAAUAUCGCAAGAAACAUGUGUACCACUAUUUCAUUUAUGAGACAGGGCUUUCAACACCCGGGUGCCCAACAACAACCUGCCCAUGGCUGGACAACACAAGGGGAAAACAACUUUACUAGGCCGCAUCGUGGACUAGCACGCUUCUGGCCUACAUGCAAACGACCUGCGGACUCGAUUGAACCGAGUUUACAAAUUAACAUAUUGCAACAUAAACUAGCGUACUUGACACAAACACACUUAACUUCGGCAUGGUCCGGAGAUCAGGUGGACGGGCAGCUGCUCUCACACUUUGGGAGGUUUCCUCUCAUUCUUAUUCUUAUGCCGCGGCUUCAUUUUGCUAUUCUGAGCCACGACGGCGGUAUUCUUGGGUUGUGUAUUCCCGUUCUUCAACGACCGCAGUUUCUUCAUCUUCGUACUGGUUGGCGUUAUCUUUGUCUUGUUAGGGGCAUUCUUUGCAGCUUCCUUGCCCUUGCCCAUGAUGCGAUCACCUUCUCUNUCUUAGAAUUUAUGACGAUAUUCGUCGUUUCUUCUUCUUUUCAGGCGAGGUGGAUGAUUGGUGUUUAGUUUUCUCCGGUUGGGUUCAGAAAGCCUGCGGCAACAGCUGCAUAAACAGGAGGUGGGAGGUCUUGGGAAAGCGCUCACAUGGGACGACAACACGCUUUCGCCCGAGGAGGUUUGGUGGGGUUGCCAGUGCGACUGUUAGUCAGUCUUUGUUUCGUUUUGGGGAUUAGAUAUGUUCUUCACGGAUGGGUAUGCUGUUGGGUUAGUGGUCGUGGUCGCUGCCGCGUUGAUCUUCGUUUCUUCUCCUCCUUCUCCUAUAGUAGUAUACUUUUUUUUUUGCGAAACUCCUUAUAGUAGUAUACUAUUACUAUAUGUGCAUCAGAAUAAACGAUUGCUGGUUAAGUUUUGUUGCUAGCACACCCCCACACGGCUUGUUAGUUGUUGGUCAUAUAUAUCCAGUCAGAUGAACAUGAGCUCGAACUGUAUUCUGGAAGAUGAAGUCCCCCCCCCCUUCCCCGCGCGUGAUGUCUGUUCAGCUGCUAAUAAACGAAGUGGCUUUCUUCGCCCGCGACGAAAAUGGGGAGUUUCGCUUCGUCCGCAAAGGGAAAGGUUGGGGUCAUAGAAUUGAAAAUAUUUAAACAGGGCUAUAGUUUUGAGAUUUUGAUAAAAGAAUUAAAGAAAAUACUCAUAGCCUUUUGGUUUAUGAAUUUUUGCCUAAAUUACAAACUUUAGAUGCCGGGAUCAUGAAACAUCGGCCACAACCAUUUCAAUAUUAUCCCCCAAAAAAUGGUGAGACCAUACAGCCAUGUGGGUCUAUGUGCAAUGUGGUGCCUACAUGCUAACACAUUAUAUUUAGAAUGGGACCAUGCGCUAGCGUAAGUCAAGUGUUUGGACCGACAAGUUAGACAUAAUUCAUUUUAUUCAUGUAAUAUUUAGAGUGGAACCAUGUAUCAAUAAAAGAAAUGUUUCACCAUUUCGACUACUCCAUGUUGAAGAUUUCUUUUGUUUCAGUUUAAUUAAUGCAAAGUUAAGUACUUCCUCCGUCACAAUUUAGAAUGCGUGCAUGAAAAUUCUCUAGAACCUAGGUGGUUAUUGAUUGGCUGUGAAAUGAGUUAAAAAAUAUCAUUUACACUACGCAUGCAUAUAAAAGUAAUACAACAGAGUACUAAUUAGAAGGUAGGAGUAAAUGCAAUGCGCCUUAAACCGUGUCUAUUGUGAAAAUACACGUAAAUUUAACUGUGUCAUCUCCAGUUAGCCACCUACAUGAUUAGAGCGAGUUUAGUAAUUGCUAGUGCUCUACCUUGAGCCGUUCCGCUUAGUUUCUUGGGGGUAAUGUUGGCUGUAAUUACUAGCGCUGUACCUUGUGCCGUUCCACUUACUUUCCUUGGGGGUAAUGUUGGCUGUAAUUGGUUGCUGAUAUGGCAGUGAGACAACUCUGAACCCCACCACUGUACUCCUCCAGUCUUCUGUUUUGUUAAAGUGUUCGACCAGCCGGUUUCUUUUGUUUUGUUCGAUAUAUGUACUCCCUCCGUCACGGUUUAGAAAGCGUGCGUGUGUUUGGAAAUUCUUUGGAACCUAGGUGGUUAUUUAUUGGCUGUGAGAUGGGCUGAAAAAUAGCAUUCACAAUAUGCAUGUAUAUAGAAGUAGUACAACAGAGUACUAAUUAGCUUCUAGAAGUAAAUAUAAUGCACAUUAAACCUUGUCUAUUGUAAAAAUGCAUAUAAAUUUAAGCAUACUUUCUAAACUGUGACGAAGAGAUAUGCAUAUUCAAUACAUGCAUUAGUUAUUGAUGGAUGGAUAGAUGCGGUUGGUCAUUGGUCAUGGACAUCGCCGCGUUGGUCUUCCUUUCUCAGGCUACUCCCAAUGCUUCAUCUUGUACAAGUGCUAAGGCUGCCACGUAGGUAAAAUAUCUGAUGUGGCAAGUUAAUUAAUAGAAGAGAGAUGAGUAUGAUGACCCUAGAAAAAAACAAUGCUAAGCCAUGAACCUAGGUAUAACAAUUAAAUGAAAGAAAUGCAGCAAUGCAUACACAACUUCAAUUGCAAAAGCAUUAAAUAAAAAGGCUUAGCUACAAUAAGCUAAGCAACUAUACAUUGAGAACAUUAGUUGUUAAACUAUUUAAUGUGCUUAGCAUCUUAUCUUAGCACCAAUGCAUUGAAAGUGGCCUUAUACAUUAGAAUUAGCGUGAGCUGGAGGUUAGGAAGUCGUAUGACUAAUAGAGGAAGGAUAAAAAAAUGCACAUUAUGGUUGAACAAGUAGUCAUACAUCUUGUCCAUUGUAAACCAGCACUAACUGCUUUAGAUAGCACAAGGCACGCCAUGAUCAGAAACUAUAGUCGUCAACCAUAUAUAAUUAGCCAAAUUCUAUUCGACGAGGCAGGUAAAUAUCAAGAAAGAAUAGGAAUUUGACGUUCACACACACAAGGACCUUCCCCAACCCUUUUUUUUUUUGCAUAAUUAAUUUGAUUGUCAAACUACUAGUGCAUCGCAAUGGCUAAGGUAGUCCGGGAUUAAGGGGUCCUCGGGUUGGACUAUCGAGGUCUUUCCACUGCUCUACCUUUAGCUAGAGCAGUAGAAUUUUCCAUUUACUGAACCGCCUACACUAACGCCACUAUGAACGCCCAUGCAUGCCCUGACCCCAAAUGCCAAAUUGCUGCUAAAAAUAUUCCAGCAAACUGGAUGAAACCAUGGAGCAUGUAUGCCACUCUUUUCUUAUACUCAGUCUCCCAACGACAACAAGCCCAUCAUGGCUCGACACAAGAAGAAGAAAACAUUACUUAGCCGCAGUGUUGGCCAGCCUAUAUGCAAAACUACAUAUACGGACUCUAAGGGCUCGAUUGAACAAAGUUUACAAAUUAUCUUAUUGCAACAUUGACUAGUGUAUUUCACACAAACACAGUUCACUUGUUGAUUCUGUAAAACCUUAUUGAAUAAUACAAUAAAUAUGGCUGUGUGUAUCGGUCGAUGCAAAUGCCGGGGUAAUCCUCCUUUUAAAAAAAGGAAGAAAAAAAUACAAACACAAUUAACUUCUUCAUGGACAACGUCCAAUGUCACCACAGAGGUGGAUGGGCAGCUGGCCUCACCCAGUUUAGAGGCUUCCUUUCACUUCUUAUUCUUAUGCGCCGACCUCUUCUGCUUAGGCGUCGCCGACCACAUUUGGCUUGACAUUAUUGAGGCCGCCGAUGGAGCCAUCAUUGUUGACAUUCUUGGUGUCGACGUGCUCGACCAUAUAUAGCUUGAGGCCGCUGUUGCGUCAGUUGGCGUUAUUGAGGAUGCGGAAGGAGCGACAAUUGUUGUCAAUCUUGAGGACCAAUCACCUUGUGUUGGCAUCCUCGACCACAUAUGGCUUGAGGCCGCUGUUGCGGCAGUGGACGGUACUGAGGUCACGGAUGGAGCCAUUAUUGUUGUCAUUCUUGAGGACAACUCACCAAUCGUCGGCAUCAUCGACCAGAUGUGGCUUGAGGCCGCCGUUCCGCCUGUUGAUGCUACUGAAGUCGCAGGUAGAGCCGUCGUUCUCGGUGUUCUUGAGGCCGCCGGCCUGCCUGCCCUUGUUGGCAUACUUGGGGACGCGGGUGGAGCCUCCCGUGGCCUCACCUUCUGACCAAGAAAUUGCCUUGGCAUGAUGUGAUCUGCUUCUGGGGGGGGGGGUCCUUCUCCGGCUCUUCCUCUUCUGCCUGAUGAGGUGAGUUGAGCUGGGGUGAGGUGUUUGCUUUGUGUUACUUGGGGUUGAGGAAGCGAUGCGGCAACGACAUAUAUACACACAAGGAUGUCAUCUCUUUUGGUGUCCUUGCUUGUUCGGCUCAAACGUAUGCGUGUUCAUACUUGAGUAGUAUACAUGUAUAUUCAAUGCACAUAUUACCAUUGGGGAUGUGAUUGGGUCAAGUCAAUGGCUGUGGUCAUCACCGUGUUUGUCUUCAUUUUUCAUACAUUAGAAUUAGCGUUAGGUAUGUUCAGUAGCAGACGGCUAAGAAUAAAAUGAAUAGCGGAUGGUACACUGGUAACAUGAUUCAGUCCCACAACAACAACCUACCGUGCCCCUCAGACAACAAAAGUGACGAAAAAAGAAUUACUCAGCUGGCAACGUGAAGCCGGCUCCAUGGUUUUUUUCAGUGAGAUGUCUAUGAAAUUUAUCGAAUUUAUGUAAUUUCAGUAGACAACAAAAUGUGUACCUUAUAUUGCCGUCAAAAUGCCAUCAUGGUCACAAAUGUAGACUCAGGCACCAAAUGCCAAUUUCAUGCCUUACAUCACUGCUAACAAAUAUGGUAAGAAACACAGGGAACAUGUAUGUCACGUUUUUUUUCCUUUUAUUCAGUGACACAGAAACAACCUGCCACACCACACGCAAGGGAGAAGAAAUUUUACUUGACCGUAACGUUUCUCUCCUGCAUGCAAACUAGCUAUGGAUUCCAAGGGCUCGAUCCUACCGAGUUUACAGACUAACUUUUUGCAACAUAAAACUGAAAUGACAGAAACACACUUAAUGAACUUCGUCACGUCAAUCGCAUCAUGCACGUUUUAAGGCUACCUCUAAACCAGCCUUUGGUUCAUCUUAGACUGGCCAAACACCCCCUUCUAUGUCAUUGGCAAUGCCCGCUUUGCCAUCUUAGAAUUUAUGACGAUAUUCGUCGUUUCUUCUUCUUUUUUGACGGUGGGACUACUGCUUCCUAUAACGCCAUAUUCUUCCUUUGUUCUUCUUCUUUCGUGAAGCAAUGUGUGGUCAGCUAGCUCAGGUGGAUGCAGUGUUUGCUUUGCUCCGGCUGGUUCGAGGAAGCCGGCUGGAAGACGCGCUUCCACCGUGGAGAAUGGUUUGCUGGCUUUGACAGUCAGUAAGUCCCUCCUGUUUGAUUUAGAUGGGACUUAAAGGGACUUAUAAGUUCUAAGUCCCUAAUAAGUCCCUGUAACCAAACACCUCCUAAAUCAUCUCGCUCUAGCAGUAGUCCAAGUCUCUCUGCAUAGAUACGUUGUGUAUGAUUUAUUUAUUUUAAAUCCAAUUUGAGCCGUGUUGCAUCAAAUGGCUGUUGUUUUAAAGUUUAAACAGACAGGACCAGCUGGGCCGGCCCACUAAGGUGUACAUUUGUUCUCCGUCUUUGAGAAUCUUCCAGAAGGUUCCAGUCUGGUUUUCACUGGUUUUUGUUUUUCUUUCCCGGAUUUCUUUGGUUUCCACUAUAUAUUUUUCUUUAAAAAUAUCCCUUUUGUAAAAAUAGAUUUAAAAAAACUCAUAAUAUCAAAUUAUUCAUGUCUUACAUGUUUCGUGGAAUUUCUAAAAAUGUUCUCACUUAGUAGGAAAUACAAUUUAUUUUUCAAAAUACCACGAAUCUGUUGAUAAAAUUAGUACGACGUGCACACCUGAAAAAUAAAGGAAAUACAACGAGGUCCCUGGGGGUGAGGGUGUGGCAAGUACACGAUGACGCCUCCACAUUACUGGUGUCAGUCAGUCGUUGUUACUCACCAACGGGAAAUUAUCUUCUUCUUUUUCUUUCUGCGAAUACGAACGGGAAGUUAUCCAGGUCACGGCCAUACCAUGCCAGGUUUCAGAAAAAAUACUGAGGUUGCUGAGGUGAGGUGGAUGUGGUAUUUG
rnacentral:lncRNA from 1 species